rnacentral:rRNA from 1 species
GAGUUUGAUCAUGGCUCAGAUUGAACGCUGGCGGCAGGCCUAACACAUGCAAGUCGGGCGGUAGAGAGAAGCUUGCUUCUCUUGAGAGCGGCGGACGGGUGAGUAAUGCCUAGGAAUCUGCCUGGUAGUGGGGGAUAACGCUCGGAAACGGACGCUAAUACCGCAUACGUCCUACGGGAGAAAGCAGGGGACCUUCGGGCCUUGCGCUAUCAGAUGAGCCUAGGUCGGAUUAGCUAGUUGGUGAGGUAAUGGCUCACCAAGGCGACGAUCCGUAACUGGUCUGAGAGGAUGAUCAGUCACACUGGAACUGAGACACGGUCCAGACUCCUACGGGAGGCAGCAGUGGGGAAUAUUGGACAAUGGGCGAAAGCCUGAUCCAGCCAUGCCGCGUGUGUGAAGAAGGUCUUCGGAUUGUAAAGCACUUUAAGUUGGAGGAAGGGCAGUAAAUUAAUAACUUUGCUGUUUUGACGUUACCGACAGAAUAAGCACCGGCUAACUCUGUGCCAGCCGCCG